UUUACCCUUUAGUGUGUUUAAGACCCUGGACCUUGGUGUCCGGGUUCAAAUCUCUAGGCGCCCAAACCAGAAGGAGAACGACGACCAUUGGGAGAUGAUGGAGGAGGUUCAGCGGAGCUUGCUUUUCGUGUCGAAGCCCAAGGCGUGUACGGAGCACGAAGAGAUGGAGCAGGACAGCGGGGGAUCGUCGAAGGAGAUGGAGUCGCCGAGGUCGAUUGGGCGAUGGAGGCGGAGGGCGAAGAGGGAGGGGUCCGUGCGUAGCCAGAUCUUGAGAAUUAGGGAGGAGGACGCGCAUCUCGGUGAGAGUACUAGUUUAGGGUGAGAGUACUAAUUCAGAGCCAUUCAAUUCAUGGUCCUAAACACCAACAACUGAAGAAGCUCUCAGAAGAGAGAAGAAGACGAAAAUGGAAAGUGUAGCCAAAGGUGAAGGUCAAGCAACAAAAAGACGAAGAUGAUCGUCAUGCCUUAAUUGAUUUUUGUUUUCCAGGUGAAGGUUUUUGAAGGAUGAGAUCUCUCUUUGUACCAUUUGCCAGUUAUCCUUACCAUUUGCUAGUUAUCCUUCUCAUAAGAUUUCUCUCUGUAGUUGUGUAAGUUUGGAUGUUGUUUCAUUGGAUUGUAAUCAGAGCUUGUGGAGAAUUUAGUACUCACGACAUCUUCUAUGA